GAUAAACGCUGGCGGCGCACAUAAGACAUGCAAGUCGAACGAACUUAACUCAUUCUUUUAGAUUGAGAGCGGUUAGUGGCGGACUGGUGAGUAACACGUAAGCAACCUGCCUAUCAGAGGGGAAUAACAGUGAGAAAUCAUUGCUAAUACCGCAUAAGCUAGUAGUAUCACAUGAUACAGCUAGAAAAGGAGUAAUCCGCUGAUAGAUGGGCUUGCGCCUGAUUAGCUAGUUGGUGGGGUAACGGCCUACCAAGGCGACGAUCAGUAGCCGAACUGAGAGGUUGAACGGCCACAUUGGGACUGAGAUACGGCCCAG
rnacentral:rRNA from 1 species